GAUGAACGCUGGCGGCGUGCUUAAUACAUGCAAGUCGAGCGGAAAGACGCUGCGUUUGUGGGGUGCUCGAGAGGCGAGGGGGGGAGUAACACGUGAGUAUCCCGCCCUUGACUGUGGGAUAACUUUAGGAAACUGGGGCUAAUACCGGGGAGGAGAUCUUGCUGCGUGGGGGUGGUUGGAGAGUGUCGGCGGUGGUGGCUAGACUCGCGGGUUAUCAGCUGGUUUGGGGGGUAGGGGCAUACCACGGUUUUGACGGGUAGGCCGCCUGAGAGGGUGGACGGCCACCAUGGGACUGCGAGACGGCGCAGACUCCUACGGGAGGCAGCAGUCGGGAAUCUUGCGCAAUGGGCCGAAGCCUGAUGCAGCAACGCCGCGUGCGUGAUGCCGGCCUACGAGUUGUAAACCGCUUUCUAAUGUACCGAACCCUGCGUGACGGUACUGGGUCAAGAAGCCCCGGCUAACUACGUG
rnacentral:rRNA from 1 species